GACGAACGCUGGCGGCGUGCUUAACACAUGCAAGUCGAACGGAAAGGCCCUGCUUUUGUGGGGUGCUCGAGUGGCGAACGGGUGAGUAACACGUGAGUAACCUGCCCUUGACUUUGGGAUAACUUCAGGAAACUGGGGCUAAUACCGGAUAGGAGCUCCUGCUGCAUGGUGGGGGUUGGAAAGUUUCGGCGGUUGGGGAUGGACGCGCGGCUUAUCAGCUUGUUGGUGGGGUAGUGGCUUACCAAGGCUUUGACGGGUAGCCGGCCUGAGAGGGUGGCCGGCCACAUUGGGACUGAGAUACGGACCAGACUCCUACGGGAGGCAGUAGUCGGGAAUAUUGCACAAUGGGCGGGAGCGUGAUGCAGCAACGCCGCGUGCGGGAUGCCGGCCUUCGGGUUGUAAACCGCUUUCGCCUGUGACGAAGCGUGAGUGACGGUAAUGGGUAAAGAAGCACCGGCUAACUACGUG
rnacentral:rRNA from 1 species